rnacentral:misc_RNA from 1 species
UGUGGGAGCGAGCCUGCUCGCGAUGGGGCCAUGCCAGUCAACAUCGAGGUGAAUGGAAGACCGCUAUCGCGAGCAGGCUCGCUCCCACA